rnacentral:rRNA from 1 species
UACGGAGGGUGCAAGCGUUAUCCGGAUUCACUGGGUUUAAAGGGUGCGUAGGUGGGCAGGUAAGUCAGUGGUGAAAUCCCCGAGCUUAACUUGGGAACUGCCAUUGAUACUAUUUGUCUUGAAUACUGUGGAGGUUAGCGGAAUAUGUCAUGUAGCGGUGAAAUGCUUAGAUAUGACAUAGAACACCAAUUGCGAAGGCAGCUGGCUACACAAAUAUUGACACUGAGGCACGAAAGCGUGGGGAUCAAACAGG